GUCCUGAUGCUCCUGAUGAGAGGAGAAGAGAAUGGUUGGAUUGAUGUCUUUUGUUGUGAAGUUCUCCCAUGGAGGAGUUAACUCUGUUUGUCUAUCAGUAGACUGUAUUUCUAUCUCCAGUAUAACAUGGAAAAGCUGGGGAUAUUUGUCUGGAGAGUCACAGGCAUCCAGUUCAGGUUUGGUGAAUUUUAAUGUGGUUGUUCC
rnacentral:lncRNA from 1 species